CGCCGGCGCCGCGCUGCGCACAGGGACGCGCGGGACUUGUCAGAGCCGUGCCGUCAGCGUGCGGCGGCCGCGGCCAAAAAUAACCCUGGAAAGCAACGCCGAGAAUCGCGGUCUCCUGCCAGAGAUGUAACCGGAGGCUGGGGGAGAGGGAGAGCCAGCGCCACACACUUGCUCGGGGGGAUCACGCUCUGUCAGCGCCGGAGCCGGCCCCGGCCGCCCCCUCUGGCCGCGGGAGCCGCGCGGCUCGGGGCGGCGUGCCGGGCGGCCGGUGCGGUGCGUUCCCACGCCGCGGGAAGAGGAGGGGGCGGCACCGUCCCGUGUCGCGGGCAAAAGAAACGCGGAGAUCACGAAUGAGAAAGUUGUUUCGCCACAAACGCUGAAGCGAGCGGGAUGGUUUUCUUUCUGUUAUUGCUCACAAGCGAGUUUCUUGUAUAGUAAGCAAGCUUAGGAAGGCUUUGGGAUUUUACUAUUAUUAUUAUUAUGUUCUCUCAUCAUGAGCUGGGAACCAUAGCGAAGAGCUGAUCUGGCAGUGUAACAGAAGGUGAGAGUUGCCGUGCAGGUCUCCUCCCUGUGUGCCCGAGAAACACUGACCCUGUGCUUCCCUCAGAAGAGCUGUCAGGUGUUACGUAUUUCGUAUGGAUGUGGCAAGAGCUCGUUGACUCGUGUGUGCGAUUUGCUUAAAGUAAAUACAGAGGUGGUAGCACUGCUGCAGGGAUGCCUGACAUUUCCCAGUGCAAAGGCUGUGUUUACAGAUGCUCAUGGCUGUCGAACAUCAGCUGAAAUUUUCCAUCCAAAUGCUUGCUCUGCGCUGGGUCCACACACCAGUUGUGGUUUUGUUUUGUUUUGUUUUGCCAGGACAGCUCUGUUGGCCAGAGAACUGGAAAAAUAAUAGUCAUAUAAACCUGAAUGUCAUUCUUGAGGUCAUGAGAACUCUAGUGCAGAAGUGCACCUGAGCUUACAAAAUGGGUGGCACAGCUCUCAAGAGUUCACUUUCGUGGAAAUGUUCUCCAGGUCUCUGCCAAGAAGUCUGCUUAUAAACUGCUCAGAGACUCCACUGAGUGUCCUGGCUCAAAAACAGUUGUUAGCCAGAUAACCAGAGAAAAGUCCUGAAAUUACCAGUGUUUGAUGAAAUCUAGUGCACCCAUGCUUUGGGACAGCAGUAGAAGGCAGGUAGUAAUAUGUCUAUAAUAUUUCCAAAGGGUGAUCUACCUCCUUAAGCCUGUGAACUAGGUUUGUUUUGAUCGUGUUCUGGUUGUUUUUUUUUUAAUUCAGGUAUCAAUUGAAUAAAAACAGUAUUUCUUAGAAAUAUUAAUUCUGCAGAAAGUAGUCAUGUUUGUGACUGUCUGUACUGGUUCAGAAUGCAUGUUAGAUGGCAAAAGAAAAAAAUCUGCAGUAUAAAGUGCCAGUUCUUACACCCCUAACAUAAAAAGGCACUGUUACAGAUGAUUUAAAAUGAUUUGGGGCCUGAACAUUCUAAUGCAAAACUUGAAUAAAAGGAACCACUUUUCUUCAUUUGUUUGUUUUGUAUGUGUUCAGUUUUUAAGUAUCUUGAUUAGCCUUUUGUUGGUAUAUUUAUAUCUGGGGAAGCUCUUCAUUCUUU
ensembl:lncRNA